UGUUUUAUUUUCUUUCCCUUCCACUAUUUUCCUGGCAAUCAAACAGAAUGUGCAAAAUGGUGAGGCCUAAGGCUCCCCGAAAGAAGCAGCAACAGCGCGGUGUCGACUUCAAAAAAAUAAAACGAAAGAUUGGUCGGAAAUUGCCACCGCCAAAAAAUGCUACAAACACUGAAAUCAAAUCCAAAGCCAUUAUCCUUCCCGAGCAGAGUGUAGCAUCAGAAAAGGCGGGUUUGGCAGUGAGCAAAAAAGGUUUGACAUUGAAAGAGCUUCUUCAGCAAACAUCUCAUCACAAUUCCAAAGUCCGAAAAGAUGCUUUGAUUGGCAUUAGGGAUAUUUUUCUUAAAUACCCAACAGAGUUGAGAUUGCAUAAACUUGCCGUUAUAGAGAAGCUGCGUGAACGCAUUAGUGAUGAUGAUAAACUGGUUCGGGAAACACUAUAUCAACUUCUUAAGUCAGUGAUUUUCCCUACCUGUAAAGAGGACAAUCAAGGACCUUUCAUUUCACUGAUGAUGGCAUAUAUUUUCAAUGCAAUGACACAUUUGGCAAUUGAUGUUCGGUUGAUGGCUUUCAAAUUUUUUGACCUUGUUGUUCAGUACUACCCAUCGUCCUUUUCCUUAUAUUCUGAAAAGAUUUUCCAAAACUACGAAGAUGUAUUACGAAAGAAUCAGUUCUAUUUACAGGACAAGGGCAAGCUUAAGAAUGUUCUUGCAGGGCUAGUUCACUGCUUGUUAUUGUUGCCAAGUAGUAAGGCAGAUCAUGAUUCACCAUGUGAAAAGGAUGAUGCUGCACAAGGGAUUUUACAUGCUUUUGAGCCUGACACACCUAAACAUGCUGCUGGAUUUUCUGUCAUCAAAAAGAAACUAGAGGACCUUAUGCCCGUUUUACUUAGUUGUUUCCAAGAUUUUAUUCGAUUGGUUCAUACUAUGCGACACCUUGAUGUGCAAUCGUUUGAUUGUAUGCUAUUUAUACUUCAGAGCAUAGACCUUGUAGUCAGGUUCUUUGCUUAUGGGAUCGAUAACAGUCAGCAUGAGCUACAAGUGUCUAUGCUGCCUUGUGAAGGAUUGGAUGCAACCAUACGAAGUCAAACUAUCAUGCCAUCGUCAUUAAAGAAGUUAUUUGAUUUGUUCCCCCUCAACCCAACACAUCACCUUUCAGGAAAGGAUGAUGAUAAAUAUUUCGCCGUCAAUAUUAUAAUUACAGAAAUCUUUUUACACACAACUGACUGGCAAUGUCCUGCUGCUCUGUCUGAAAAAUUUCUUGAAUUCGUUGCAUGUGCUCUCUCUGAAGAGAUAUGCAGUGGCACACAGUCUGGUAAAGCAUUCCAUGAAAAGCACAUACUUUCACUAAUUCCUUUUAUUCCGAAACUUGUAUUCCAAGUAGCGGGUUUUUGGAAGUCUCGUAUUCUACAGGCUUUUACAGAGACUUUCAAAAGUUGCAAUCUAGAGUCUUCACUGAAAUGGGCUUGCCUUUCUGCAAUUGAAGAAAUGCUGGUUCCGAGACAAGGCUUGAAGCAGCUAGAUGCAAGUGAUCCAGAAUUGUUAGACUAUCAGAUUACUUGGAUGAGAGAGCUUCCUCUGCUGCUAAUCAUGUUAGAUGAUAAACACCCAUUACGUUCCAGGAGUGUACUGAGUCUUCUACUUCGGCUGGGACAAUGUGCUGUUGCAAACACUUUCUUUGCACAGGAGUAUGACAACAUGCAGGACUCAUUGGCAGAAUUUUACUGUAAUUGCAUGGGUGAAAGAAAUAUAUCUUAUGGUCCUUUUGUUAAACUCAAUAGAGAUGCUCAGGAGUUUUCUAUCUGUUGUCUUUAUUAUUUCUCUCAUGUGGACUCCCUUCUGCUCAAGUCAUUAGCUUGGUGCUGCUUAUAUGAUGGUUUGGAACCAAUUAUAAUAUUUCGAAUCAUAGAGGUUCUGCAUUCGUCCUAUAAAGCUGGACAUAUUCAAAUUGCUGACCACAUUAGUUUCUUUGUCACCUUACUCUCAUGCUUCAAAGUUUAUGCUGAAAAGAGUUGUCCUAUGUUGGAGAAUGAUGAGAUCUCAAAUUAUGGAAUUUUUAAGUCAAUCACUCGUGCCGUCUGCUCUUGUUUGUUACAGAUGGGUGAUUAUUAUCUUCUUUUCCAGAUACUAGAGAAAGUAGUUCUUGACCAGAUAAUACUGAACCCAGCUUUAGACAAUUUAUGUGCUCUGCUCAGGAUGCUUGUCGCGCUUGACGCUAGACCCACGAGAUUUUCUCAACAGAGUAUUAUCAAUCUAAGCAAUUUCCUUCCAGGAUACUUAAUUGAUGUUGUGUCUUGCUUUCCAGAAGAUGAUGAUGAAUCCCGCAUCCCAGUCCUUAGAAGCACAAGACAUUAUUAUUUCCUGCCUUGCUAUAUCUUGUUUUAUAGGAGCAACAAACUACUCAAUCUUGUUUUAAGGAAGAUGGGAUCUUUGGUAACUGAAAAGAGUAGGAUAACUGCAAUUGUUUCUGUUGUCCUACUGAUGCAUAAGGAUGUUAAAGUCUGGAAAAUUCUUUCAUCAUGCAAGACAGAUAUUGACUUCAUUUUACAGAGUAUACUCGUGGUACAGUCAUCUGAGGAAGGCAACAUGGUCCUUGAAGAAAGGCACAAAAUACAGUCUGCAGUUGAUCGACUAAACACUCUAAUCAGUGAAAGCUGACAAUCUAAAAGUGUACUUGUACUAAGAAACCUUCCCAAAAAUGGGUGAAUGUUGGAAAGAUGUGUGUAUCACGAAAUUAAGUUGGCCUGUGUGUCCAGAGUGAAAGUCUCGAAAAACGCGCGUAUACAUGGGUGCCGAUUUUCGCGGACGAAAUAUUCGUAAAAUGGCAAUAGUAGUGCUUGUAUAGACUACGUUUAUAUGGGUGUCGUUUGACGGUUUCUUGCAGGCGAAACAUUCGUGAAAGGUGUUGGUGAGAUGCCUCAACCAAAGGACUUAGCUUGGGAGGACAGUGGAGUUGAAAGCUCAGUUUUGUUAUUUUGUGUUUAAUGUUUGUACAAGCCUACGACAUUAUAUGUAUUGAGCUUAAGACUCACUUUUGAUGUAACCAAGCAUUGCCUUGAAAAAUUGUAGCCUUCAGGGCAUUUUUAUUAUCUGUUUACCUUCUACAUUUUAAUUUGUUGUUGUCACAUGCUAUAGAUUUAGGGUUAGGACUUAUGAAUGUAUAUUCGCAUGUGUCACCUCUUUUGUACAACUGAGUUUCAUGAAAUUGAAGGAUAUCGUACUUUGAUUUAUGUUA